CGUAACAAGGUUUCCGUAGGUGAACCUGCGGAAGGAUCAUUACCUAGAGUUGUAGGCUUUGCCUGCUAUCUCUUACCCAUGUCUUUUGAGUACCUUCGUUUCCUCGGCGGGUCCGCCCGCCGAUUGGACAAUUUAAACCAUUUGCAGUUGCAAUCAGCGUCUGAAAAAACUUAAUAGUUACGACUUUCAACAACGGAUCUCUUGGUUCUGGCAUCGAUGAAGAACGCAGCGAAAUGCGAUAAGUAGUGUGAAUUGCAGAAUUCAGUGAAUCAUCGAAUCUUUGAACGCACAUUGCGCCCCUUGGUAUUCCAUGGGGCAUGCCUGUUCGAGCGUCAUUUGUACCUUCAAGCUCUGCUUGGUGUUGGGUGUUUGUCUCGCCUCUGCGCGUAGACUCGCCUCAAAACAAUUGGCAGCCGGCGUAUUGAUUUCGGAGCGCAGUACAUCUCGCGCUUUGCACUCAUAACGACGACGUCCAAAAGUACAUUUUUACACUCUUGACCUCGGAUCAGGUAGGGAUACCCGCUGAACUUAAGCAUAUCA
rnacentral:rRNA from 1 species